CUAAAUUAAUUGCAUGGAAUUUUACAGAUUCGUAAGAAAUAUAGAAAAACAAAAUAAUUCGUAUAAGUCUGAGCGCGAGAGUGAUAAAUUUUUGUGUUAAGGGUGCUGCAAAAUGCAAAAUAAAUGAUUCAAAAUUCAGCUAUGUGAAAGCUAAAAAAUGUGUAUUUGAAAACAAAAACAAAAAACUGUUCAGAUGAUGAUUUAUAUAUAUGCAACAAAAUGUAAUGCAAUUUGCAACAAAAUUAAUUAAUGUUUACAAGAAAAACUAAAAAACUUAAAUUUUCCAUAUUGUCUUACCACAAAAACAAAAAAAAAACAAAACACCUGAAUUAAAUUUUAAAACUCUUACUAUUCUUAAUUAUCCGUUUUCUAAAGCUCUAUAACUCACAUUUGUGUGUGUAUGUAUAUGCAUAUGUGUACAUACAUACAAGUUAUAUGUAUACAUACGUAUUCGUAUGUUAUCUAAUAUGUGCAUUAUUACUUAGCUUUGUUUGAAACAAACUUAAUUAUAUGCAUACAAAUAAAUAUACAAGCAUAAACAUACUUAAUCCAUACAUACAUACAUACAAAUAUGUUAUGUAUUUUGGAAAUGGCAUAGAAAUUAAAAAAAGAAAAGAAUAUUUUGUAAAGUUAUUUGAAUAAAUAAAAAGAUAAAUAAAAUUAAUUGUUGAUUAUAAACCAACAGAUAAAUUUA